rnacentral:rRNA from 1 species
AUUGAACGCUGGCGGCAGGCCUAACACAUGCAAGUCGAGCGGAGCGGCGGACGGGUGAGUAAUGCCUAGGAAUCUGCCUGGUAGUGGGGGAUAACGUCCGGAAAUGGGCGCUUAUACCGCAUACUAUCAGAUGAGCCUAGGUCGGAUUAGCUAGUUGGUGGGGUAAAGGCCUACAAAGGCGCCGAUCCGUAACUGGUCUGAGAGGAUGAUCAGUCACACUGGCACUGAGACACGGGCCAGACGCCUACGGAAGGCGGCAGUGGGGAAUAUUGGACAAUGGGCGAAAGCCGGAUCCAGCCAUGCCGCGUGUGUGAAGAAGGUCUUCGGAUUUUAAAGCACGUUAAGUUGGGAGGCGUUACCAACAGAAUAAGCACCGGCUAACUUCGUGCCAGCCGCCGCGGUAAUUC